rnacentral:misc_RNA from 1 species
UCGUAACAAGGUUUCCGUAGGUGAACCUGCGGAAGGAUCAUUACUGAUUUGCUUAAUUGCACCACAUGUGUUUUUCUUUGAAACAAACUUGCUUUGGCGGUGGGCCCAGCCUGCCGCCAGAGGUCUAAACUUACAACCAAUUUUUUAUCAACUUGUCACACCAGAUUAUUACUAAUAGUCAAAACUUUCAACAACGGAUCUCUUGGUUCUCGCAUCGAUGAAGAACGCAGCGAAAUGCGAUACGUAAUAUGAAUUGCAGAUAUUCGUGAAUCAUCGAAUCUUUGAACGCACAUUGCGCCCUCUGGUAUUCCGGAGGGCAUGCCUGUUUGAGCGUCGUUUCUCCCUCAAACCGCUGGGUUUGGUGUUGAGCAAUACGACUUGGGUUUGCUUGAAAGACGGUAGUGGUAAGGCGGGAUCGCUUUGACAAUGGCUUAGGUCUAACCAAAAACAUUGCUUGCGGCGGUAACGUCUACCACGUAUAUCUUCAAACUUUGACCUCAAAUCAGGUAGGACUACCCGCUGAACUUAAGCAUAUCAAUAAGCGGAGGAA